GGUAAUACCGGCAGCUCAAGUGGUCGUCGCUUUUAUUGGGCCUAAAACGUCCGUAGCCUGUUUGGUAAAUCUGUGGGUAAAUCAACUCGCUCAACGAGUUGAAUUCUGCAGAGACUGCCAGACUAGGGACCGGGAGAGGUGUGGGGUACUCGAGGGGUAGGGGUAAAAUCCUGUCAUCCUUCGAGGACCACCAGUUGCGAAGGCGCCACACUGGAACGGAUCCGACGGUCAGGGACGAAGCCUAGGGGCACGAACCGGAUUAGAUACCCGGGUAGUCCUAGGUGUAAACGCUGUGAACUUGGUGUCGGGGGUCCGCAAGGGGUCCCCGGUGCCGGAGUGAAGAUGUUAAGUUCACUGCCUGGGGAGUACGGUCGCAAGGCUGAAA
rnacentral:rRNA from 1 species